UUGUACUAUACUGAUAUGUGUUUAUGAUACCAUACUAGUUUUAAGUUAAGAACUGUGAUUUUCUAGUAGUUUUACUGUCCUUCGAUGACAGAUUUUAAGUUUUAAAUUUACUGAUUUUAAUGUUAAUAUAUAAAUUGUCACGAUAUGGCUGAAAUAUU